UACAGAGGGUGCGAGCGUUAAUCGGAAUUACUGGGCGUAAAGCGUGCGUAGACGGUUAUUUAAGUCGGGUGUGAAAGCCCCGGGCUCAACCUGGGAAUUGCAUUCGAGACUGAAUAGCUAGGGUACGGUAGAGGGAAGUGGAAUUUCCGGUGUAGCGGUGAAAUGCGUAGAUAUCGGAAGGAACAUCAGUGGCGAAAGCAGCUCUCUGGGACGGUACUGACGCUGAGACGCGAAAGCGUGGGGAGCGAACAGG
rnacentral:rRNA from 1 species